GGAGGAGAGAGAAUGCAAAAACGCAUUCAUUAAUAUUUUUCAAUGGCGGUGAUCAACAAUGGAAAAGACAGAGGAUGCUGCAGAUCUUGGUGAAAUAUUGGAAUGUGACUACAGUUAGCUAUUGGGUAUGUGCGAGUGUAACUUCUGGAUUGGGACAUAUAUAAGAUUAUUAGUUCAUUAUGGGGAAACUAGAAUAAAAGACAUGGACUUCAACGAAGACUCAGGUUCUGUGGGAAUUCAAGUGCCUCGUGAAGGACGAACCAUAUGAUGCCAACUCAAAAGAAUUCAGUGGAAUUGGCAAGUAUUAUAAAAUAAUAUCAAAAAAUUUAAAUUUAAAAAUUAUUUGAAUCUUAACUAAAGUCUUCCGAACAACAAUAGAGAGACUAAAUUGAGAGCAGAUGAUGAAGCAGAUAAUCCGGGUGAGUGAAUAAUUAGAAUCGUAGAUUAGAUUAGAAGAUAUAUUCUGUUGACUGGACAGCUAGUUUAAGGUAGUUUACGUCGGACUCUAUCGGAACCAUAUCUUUUAUAAUUUAGUGCAGAAUUCGGUAGUAAUAACAAAAUAAAGUUUAGAAAAACUAUGAAACCAGGUACUAAACUACUUGUUAUUAUUACUGAAUUCAAAUGAAUUGUGUUUAGUAUAGUUACUGAUUAUAUCCAGGACAAAACUGAAGAUUCUGUACUAUCAAUCAUUUAUAUCUCAGCCAGUGACAAUCUGCUUACGGAAUGAACAACUACAUGUUGGUCUUCCAAUAUGUA